GACGAACGCUGGCGGCGUGCUUAACACAUGCAAGUCGAACGCUGAAGCUUGGUGCUUGCACUGGGUGGAUGAGUGGCGAACGGGUGAGUAAUACGUGAGUAACCUGCCCUUGACUUUGGGAUAAGCCUGGGAAACUGGGUCUAAUACUGGAUACGACAUGUCACCGCAUGGUGGUGUGUGGAAAGGGUUUUACUGGUUUUGGAUGGGCUCACGGCCUAUCAGCUUGUUGGUGGGGUAAUGGCUCACCAAGGCGACGACGGGUAGCCGGCCUGAGAGGGUGACCGGCCACACUGGGACUGAGACACGGCCCAGACUCCUACGGGAGGCAGCAGUGGGGAAUAUUGCACAAUGGGCGGAAGCCUGAUGCAGCGACGCCGCGUGAGGGAUGACGGCCUUCGGGUUGUAAACCUCUUUCAGCACGGAAGAAGCGAAAGUGACGGUACGUGCAGAAGAAGCGCCGGCUAACUACGUG
rnacentral:rRNA from 1 species